GACGAACGCUGGCGGCGUGCUUAACACAUGCAAGUCGAACGGAAAGGCCUGCUUUCCCUUGUGGAUUGCGGGUACUCGAGUGGCGAACGGGUGAGUAACACGUGAGUGAUCUGCCCCCAACUUGGGUAUAAGCCUGGGAAACUGGGUCUAAUUCCCGAUAGGACUGCAGGGUGGUGCCUGUGGUGGAAAACGAUUUUCUAGUGGUUGGGGAUGAGCUCGCGGCCUAUCAGCUUGUUGGUGGGGUAAUGGCCUACCAAGGCGGCGACGGGUAGCCGGCCUGAGAGGGUGGACGGCAACAUUGGGACUGAGAUACGGCCCAGACUCCUACGGGAGGCAGCAGUGGGGAAUAUGGCACAAUGGGCGGAAGCCUGAUGCAGCGACGCCGCGUGGGGGAUGACGGCCUUCGGGUUGUAAACUCCUUUCGACCGCGAGGAAGCCACCUGGUUGGAAGGGUGGUGACGGUAGUGGGAGAAGAAGCACCGGCUAACUACGUG
rnacentral:rRNA from 1 species